UACGUAGGGUGCAAGCGUUGUCCGGAAUUAUUGGGCGUAAAGAGCUCGUAGGCGGUCUAUUACGUCGGCUGUGAAAACCUGGGGCUCAACCCCGGGCCUGCAGCCGAUACGGGCAGACUAGAGUUCGGCAGGGGAGACUGGAAUUCCUGGUGUAGCGGUGAAAUGCGCAGAUAUCAGGAGGAACACCGGUGGCGAAGGCGGGUCUCUGGGCCGAAACUGACGCUGAGGAGCGAAAGCGUGGGGAGCAAACAGG
rnacentral:rRNA from 1 species